GACGAACGCUGGCGGCGUGCUUAACACAUGCAAGUCGAACGGAAAGGCCCUGCUUUUGUGGGGUGCUCGAGUGGCGAACGGGUGAGUAACACGUGAGUAACCUGCCCUUGACUUUGGGAUAACUUCAGGAAACUGGGGCUAAUACCGGAUAGGAUCUCCUGCUGCAUGGUGGGGGUUGGAAAGUUUCGGCGGUUGGGGAUGGACUCGCGGCUUAUCAGCUUGUUGGUGUGGUAGUGGCUUACCAAGGCUUUGACGGGUAGCAGGCCUGAGAGGGUGACCGGACAAACUGGGAUGGGGCUGAGGCCCAGCCUCAUCCGGGAGGCAGCAGUGGGGAAUAGUGCACAAUGGGCUGAAGCAUGAUGCAGCACCGCCGCGUGCGGGAUGACGGCCUUCGGGUUGUAAACCGCUUUUGCCUGUGACGAAGCGUGAGUGACGGUAAUGGGUAAAGAAGCACCGGCUAACUACGUG
rnacentral:rRNA from 1 species